rnacentral:rRNA from 1 species
UACGGAGGAUGCAAGCGUUAUCCGGAAUGAUUGGGCGUAAAGAGUCCGUAGGUGGUUAUUCAAGUCGAUUGUUAAAGAGCGGGGCUUAACCCCGUAGAAGCAGUGGAAACUGAAUAACUAGAGAGAGGUAGGGGUAGAGGGAAUUCCCGGUGUAGCGGUGAAAUGCGUAGAGAUCGGGAAGAACACCAGUGGCGAAAGCGCUCUACUGGGCCUCAUCUGACACUGAGGGACGAAAGCUAGGGGGGCGAAAGGG